AGGUGGGGACAUGAUUGAGGUGUAUAAAAUUGUGCAUGUGAUGUGGAAAAAGUGGAUAGAGAGAAGAUUUCCUGUCAUAAUACUAGAACUUAGGGUCAUCCAAUGAAGCUGAAUGCUGGAAGAUUGAAGACGGACAAUAGGAGGGAAGACUACGUGGGACAGUUCCAUGCUGCAAAUACACUGGCCAUUGGCAUCCUUUACUCCUACUACUUUCUGGAUGUGGCCUCCAUCGACUAUGACCUGAUUAUUAACACCUAAGUAGUGCAUAAUGUAUCACAUCUCUGAAGGAACAUCUGCUCCCAUAUCAGCUUGCUUGGAUACGAAGGUCACCUGCUGAGACCUUCUUCCAUAUGCCCUGCCCUGCCCUGCCCUCUGAGAUGAGAUAGGUGACAAUCAUAGAGAGGGCAUUAUCAGUUGUGGAGCCCCAUCUGUGGAACUCUUUCCUCAAGGAAAUGCACCAGAGAUCAAUCUUGCUACGAUUUAGGUGCUAGAUAAAAUGAGAGUUUGUUUUUAAGUAUUUUAAAUACUUGUUAUUGAAGUAAUUUCCAGCCAGCUGGUUUUAGCCAUGUUUGUUCUUGUACAGCACAGUCCUAUGCAUGUCUACUCAGAAGCAAGUUCUAUAAAGUAUAAAGUUCAAUGGCACUUAUUCCAGGUAAGCAUGCAUAGUAGGGAACCUUUGACCCUCUAGAUGUUGCUGAACUAUAACUCCCACCAUCCCAGGCAAUUAGCAAUGCAUGCUGGGGCUGAUGGGAGUUGUACAACAUCUGGAGAGCCGAAGGUUCUCCACGCUUAAUUUAUAAGAUUACAGAUUAAGUCCCGUGAUUGUUUGAUUUAACUAUUUAAAUAAUUGUAAACUAUUGCGAGAGCUCCACAGAAGUAUGAUUUUGUUUUCAAAUAUAUACCUGAAAAAAUCUCUCAGCAUAUGCUGAUCCUUUCUGUACCCUUUCAUUUAACUAAACCAAAUUACUUGCUAGACUUUUUAUAGAGCUAUUUUGUUAAUC